rnacentral:misc_RNA from 1 species
AAAAAAAAAAAAAAAACCCUCCAAACUAUACCCCAAUUUGUGUUUGGCCUCUUUCUUUUGAAAUGAACAGAAUUGGCAUAAAUUUGUUAGUUGCUAUUGUGGCUUCGUGUCAUUGUUUGGCAUGAUGGCAUUUCAAAAAUUGAGUGUAUGCUAUUUUGCUUAUUUCUAAAGAAGUGUUUGACUUUAAUACUGGGCAUAGUCUCGAUAUCUUUGGUUAUUAACUCUUUGAAAUUUGACCACUUCUGGUUCUCAAAAACAUGAAGAAAAGGAUAUUAUUGUGCUUAUUUAGUUCUUCUUUUGAACACUCUAUUAGAUUAUAUUUUGGUUUACAUAAUGUGUUGCAUAAAGUAGUGUGUUAAUUGCUUAGUUUUAUUCCAAAAUCUUUUGUGAACAUAUCAAUCCAUGUAUACAGUUUAGCUUCUGACUGUUUCUAACCACUGAAUCUCACAGUUUGCUGCUUAUGACAUA